rnacentral:rRNA from 1 species
AGUGAACGCUGGCGGUAGGCCUAACACAUGCAAGUCGAACGGCAGCACAGGAGAGCUUGCUCUCUGGGUGGCGAGUGGCGGACGGGUGAGGAAUACAUCGGAAUCUACUCUGUCGUGGGGGAUAACGUAGGGAAACUUGCGCUAAUACCGCAUACGACCUACGGGUGAAAGCAGGGGACCUUCGGGCCUUGCGCGAUUGAAUGAGCCGAUGUCGGAUUAGCUAGUUGGCGGGGUAAAGGCCCACCAAGGCGACGAUCCGUAGCUGGUCUGAGAGGAUGAUCAGCCAAACGGGAACUGAGACACGGUCCAGACUCCUACGGGAGGCAGCAGUGGGGAAUAUUGGACAAUGGGCGCAAGCCUGAUCCAGCCAUACCGCGUGGGUGAAGAAGGCCUUCGGGUUGUAAAGCCCUUUUGUUGGGAAAGAAAUCCAGCUGGCUAAUACCCGGUUGGGAUGACGGUACCCAAAGAAUAAGCACCGGCUAACUUCGUGCCAGCCGCCGCCGUAA